GUUUUAAUAGUUUAAUAAAAACAUUGGUCUUGUAAACCAAAAUUAAGAAGUAUCUUUUAAAACU
rnacentral:tRNA from 1 species